UCUUAUGAAUGAUGAAAGAAAGUGGUUUCUUGAGAUGGAAUCCACUCCUGGUGAAUACACUGUGGA
rnacentral:pre_miRNA from 1 species